rnacentral:lncRNA from 1 species
CUCUUGAGCAAGGAGGAAUCAUCCUGACUUGGUCGCAUUUGGGACACACCUCGAGGUCGAUUGCUCCCUCUUGAGGAAGGUACGUCGAAAGUGAUGAGAGAUGGUCUUUAGUGAAGCCAGGGACGCCAUUGAUGUGAAGUGUCUCCAACUUAUGAUUGUUCUUCAUCAAGGUUUCAACACAUGCAAUGAUUCCUUCUGGAACUAACUCCGUGCAUCCCGUCACAAUUAACUGAGAAAGAAAGAAAGAAAAUUCAUUCCUCAACAACAACCCCUAACUUAAAAUGUUUCACUAUGACCAGUCGAGUUUCGUGAUGAUCAAGUUACCUUCUUGAUCAAAGGGUUUGCGUCAACCACACGGCGAAUCAAAUUCAACUUUCCUGAGGAUUUCAAAGUGAACCAUAGAUUAUCGUCGGUUAUACAAGAACUCAAUGGUAGUUCAACAACCACCUUGGUCCAUAAAACGGUUUGGUCUCUACUGGAGUUUCUUAGCACAGGAGAAACACCGGACAAAGAGAUAAAUUCAAACAAUGAAUGAAGGUAGGGAAGAACAAUCAUUAGCAUCUCGUGCACUGAUUGUGAUAACCAAUGAUAUUCUAUGGGAGUGAAAGGUUAGAGAGAACUCAACGGUGGUACAACGACGACCUUUGUCCAUAACAAGGUUUCAUCUCCUAACUGCGUUUUUGAGCACCAAAGAAACCCGAGACAUAGAAAGAAGCUCUAAUAAAGAGUGAAGAUAAUAAGAACAAUAUUUAACAUCUUUUUUUAGAUAUGUCUGUAUAAAAUGUCACGUAUAUUUGAAGAGAAAAGAAAACGUAAAUGUAGUUAACAUAAAAUUAGCCAAAAAGGAAACGAAUACGUAUUCGUAAAUAUAAGGAUUUCAGGGAAAGGAAGUAAAUAAAAUGAUAUUUGCAAUUAUUACUGAGAUUUUGUAUAAAACUCAUCUUUAAUUAGGAAAAUUAGAUUUCUUAUUGUAAUUUAAAGAUGUUCACAAUCGACUAAUGAAAAUACAAAGAAAAUUCGAAUGAAACCGACCCAAAUACGGAGAUUUCAUGAACAUUCGGCUAACGUUCUUUUUAUUUUGGAUGGUGUUUUCAUCUGUCGUACCAAAAGUUUACGUUAGAUAAACAUUCCGUCACGCAGCAGUUAGUACACUGUACACACCAUUCUUUUUUUUUUUUUAGUACACACCAUUCACCAUCCAAAUUUCUACAAAGUUUUUAGUUUCUUCUUUUGGCAACGAAUUUUUCGUCUUGUUGUCGGCUACAUAUGAAAAUUAUAACAUCGUCAUAGAAUGUUAUAUUGGUACGGUACCGUCUAUUUAUGCGGAACUAAGCCAUCCAAUCUUUUUAUCAAAAAAAAAAACUAAGCCAUCCAAUCUUUCAAAUUACUGCAUGCAAACAUAUAUAUGGUGGCAAUAUAUAUCCAUAUUAAUUGCUAUGAUAACUUAUGUUUAUGUAUUGUCAGUAGAAAAAACAAUAAGACGUUAAGAAGUCAUUUUUCCUAGUCAUUAAAACUUUCAUCCUAUGUUUGAUUAUCUAAGUUAUAUUGCCCCUAAAACCUAAAAAAUUUAUUAUUCGAAUGAAUCAAAUUGUUCUCUUUUUUGUGUUACUUUUCUCUAUGUUUAGCACUGCUAAAAGCUUAAGAAGACACUUGGAAACGGCACUUCAUUUGGCAAACUCUGUUUCACAUAAUAUUCUCUCCCUCAACCUUUUUUCUCUUGCUGCUUGCUACUGUUAUUUCGUUAACAACGUUGUAGUACUUCUGAAAAAUAAACAUCUCUCCAUUUUUGCUUCUUCAUUUUAACCUGUUACUUGCAACGGUUGAGUGAAAACGAGUUACUAAAAGCUUUAUUUUCAUUCAAUUGCAUUAACAUUUGGUCUGUAAUUGUUUACUAUAUUGAAAACUUGCUUAAAUUUUUUUUAUUACACAAUGGAUAUUUUUGGAUUUUACAUAAUCCAAGGUUUUCAUAAAGAACAUAAACAAAGGUGCAGGGAACAACAAAUGUUUUUAGAUAUGAAAGUCCAAAUCUUCUUAUUGGCUUUGGUAACAAGUUUGGCUUUAGUCUAAAACGAUAGGAUCGCUUGCGUUUGCUCCUGUCCUGUAGUCAGAAGAUUGGCAUGCAAACAUAGCCGCGUCCGUCGUUGUAUUAUCUUGUCGCAGGCUGCUGUGACCUGUGCAGUAGGGUUUGUUGCAGAACCUGCACUUUGGAAGCGUUUGGCAACAAUCAAGACACAAAACGUCUCCCCCACACGCUGUUUCUUCAACCUCAGUGUCUGGUCCAAGACAAACUGCACACUGCAUGCAUCUAGGGACGCAAUACCAGCAUCCCCUGCACUCCCUUUCAUUCCUUCCCACGCGUUUCUUCAACCAAAAACAAUAUUGAUGUUAAUUUUAGAAUCUCAAAAUCAUUUCUACGUUUGUAACAAUCUUUAACUUACACAUGAUUCUCUUGAGCAAGGCGGAAUCAUCCGGACUUGGUCGCAUUUGGGACACACCUCGAGGUCGAUUGCUCCCUCUUGAGGAAGGUAAGUCGAAAGUGCUGAGAGAUGGUCUUUAGUGAAGCCAGGGACACCAUUGAUGUGAAGUGUCUCCAACUUAUGAUUGUUCUUAGCCAAACUUUCAACACAUGCAAUGAUUCCUUCUGGAACCAACUCCGUGCAUCCCGUCACAAUUA